UCAAACAAUUCUAGGAUUUGCUUGGCUAUGGUGACAGCUGAAAGCUAAGUAGGUAUGGUGGACAGGAAGAUCAUCCAAGAGUUUCAUUUGUGGGGUGUGUUCAGGCUCAAGCAAGAAGUGCCUGAGCUGCUGUUUGAGGUUAGAAGUUGAAGAGUGUCAGAAGAGCUGAAGUUUGCCUAUGCCAGCUUCAUGUGAAAUGUGGGGCACGCUGCAGAUUCUACCUUAUAGCAACAGUUUACUAUGAGAUGUGUUACAUAGGUUUCUGAACAGUUUUGGAAUUUUGGAAGGCUCCUCCUCCUUGGAUUCUAGAGAAAGAUGCCUUUUUCCCCCUGCUAUUUAGCAAGUUUUGGACUAAAUUGCACAAGACGUUGUACCCAUGUUCUAUUCUAAUAAAUUACAUGAAAU